CUGGGAGUGAUCUGAUUGGAUUUUCUAAGUAGAGUAAAGAAAAAACACCAUCUUCCUCUUUAACCAGAAUAUAGGGACCAUUUACACUUUAAAUUAUAAUUUCUAACACUGUCAAGGUGAGCAUUGCAUUGAAAUAGUAUUUUCGUGUAUUUCUAAAUACAAUUUUUGAAUCCCACAUUAUUUCUGACAUGACUGUAAACAUAACAAGUCAAAAAGAUUUGACUUUAUAACUUAUCCCCUCAAAACAAUAUUCUUGCAACAUGACUUUCACUUUUCUUUAGCUUGUCCACUGCUUUUUGUAUGACAUUUCUGCUUUACAGUACUAACAUAAUAACCAUUCAUAAUGCAAAUGACAAUCACCUCUGAUCUAUUAUUUUAGGAUUCUGCUCCAAUGAGAAGUAUAUUUGUCUAUAAUAGAGAAUUUAUUCUUACCAUGAUCAAUGAAAUUAUCAAUAUAGCUGCUAGAGAAAUUUUGCUGGAGAAAAAUGAAAUACAACUAUUGAAUAUGAUUAAUAUUGGAUCUUUCCUCAACUUUUGGGUAAAGAUUUAAUCAAGCUAAAGGAUUGAUAUACAAAGUAUGAUUAUUGUUUACCUGAUGCUUUAUCAUUUCAACAUUUUAAUGCAGAUGUUAUUUAUUUGUGUUCCAUGCAGUAACGUGCACUGUAUUGUACGGCAUUUGAUAUAAUCUGCAAUAUUAAUUCCUUUACAUAUUUCUUCUUUCUUUUAACUGUUAUUUUGCUCGGAUGGAACUAGGUGUUGGUGGUGGAGUUGUUCAACCUAGUGGCGCUGCUGAAACUGGUCUGAAACCAGCAAAGAGUUAUGUAGCAGUUGGGACUGGGGGAACUGGCGGCGGAGGGAUUCGUAACCCCUGGCUCGGCUACGGAAAUCCCUACGGUGCUGGAGUGGGCCUGGGAGGCGGGCCCGGAGGUGUGCUGCCCUUAGCUAAACCACUGAAGCCCCCAGCGUUUGGCGGAGCCGGCGGGGCUGGCAUUCCUCUGUCGGCCGGACUUCCUGCAGGUGGACAGGUGUACCCUGCUACUGGGGGGCUGGGACCCGGUGGAGCAGGAGGUUACGGCAAUCUGGGAGCUGCUGGGGGAUAUCCACAAGGUGCUGUUGCUCCGGGUUAUGGUGGUGGAUACCCACAGCAGGCUGGAGGUGGAUAUGUCCCUGCCCCUCUGACUCCUCAACAAGCCAAAGCAGCAAAGUAUGGAGCGUUGGGGGGAUUCCUUAAGGGUGCAGGAGGAGGAGCCUACCGGGGUUGCCAGGGGAAGUUUUGUGGCAGGAGGAAGUAACGGAUCUCUGGGCUAUGCUGUGACCUCAAGAAACCAUGGUGCUACUGCAUGAUGUCGAAUGUACAUUUUGUAUGCAAACACAUCCCCCGAUUAGAGAGCAUGUAGGGAUGGUUGAUUCUUACUUUGUCCUACAGACCCACCGACUCAGAAUUUUGUAAAACUUAUCUUUGAUGAAGCUAGUUGAACUGAUGAAUGAUAUGAUAACAUGUCCGUUUAUCAUAUGAUGACAUGACAUUUCUUUUGUUUUGUUUGUUGUACCGCUUAUAGGGUCAGAUGAAGAAAGUGUUUUUGAACAGACAACCCGCCCUCAUUGCUACUAGGUUAACUAAUAUUUGUGUAAAGGACAACAUGCCAGUUUCUCAAAAUGAGAAACUGGUGGCCCUCAAAUAAAAUAAAAAAGUCCAACAAAAUAAAUAAAAACUAGAAUAUAGAAAUAGUUAUAUGUUUUAAAUUCGAGAGAAACAGUGUUUUUGCAGAAGUCUGUGUUUAUGCCCCUUCAACCUAGCCUGGUGAAAUAUCACUUGUGUAGAGGACAAAGGGAUUGACGCGUGCGUGCUAACACAACCGUACAAUACCAUCUUGUAAUCGAUUGUGCACACUGUAGGCAUUUGGUCCUCCAUCCUUGGAUGUGUUAGGGUUCUCAAACCACCACCCUGCAUAUCCUAUGGAGGUGGAGGUGAGAGGUAGAAGGCAUGUCCCUGGUGCUGACGCAUACUUCUUCAUGGUGCAUGUUCUCUGUUCAUGUUAAGCUUGUGACUGUAAAGAGCAGCCAGUUUGCCAGGUUGUUAUGACCUGCUCUCCUCAACAAUGGUCAUUCUAUGCAGUUAAGCAGCCCUGAUGUCUCCUUAUUUCUACCAUGACCAAAAGUGUAAAUGAAUGAAGGACCGUUUUCUGCUCUGGAUUAUUGUAUGCCAAAAGGUGUUUCAUGUCCUUAAAAAAAAAAACGUUAGGAUACUGCUCUGGUAUGUACAUUGUUGCAGGACAAUGACUUGAGUGUUGAGUGUGGUAUGGUGCUUUAUUCACCCUCAAGUGUAGUCUCACUUAUUAAGGCUUUCUGUAUUUACAUUUAGGCAACUUGUCAUUAUUCAAGAUUCUGUUUUCACCCGACCUUAUUUUCCUCAUAAUUUUGUCAUUAGCAGGUAUGUCUGAACAAGAAGUGAGAAAAUAUGUUUUAAACUUUGCUUCAGCAUUUAUUCACUGUUGAGAAUUAUACUGACUAAGAGCUUUGUUUAAAGAGGGAGACUACCUAUGUGUUUAUGCCCUGUCUAAGUGGGACUUUACCGACUUGAGUUACAUUAAAGGAAGUCUCACGCGUGAUCAGCUCAACUAAUAAUAGACUCCCUCUUUAUAUAUGUGUGUACUGUAUUUUAUACCAGUUGGACUUAAGCGCACUUGGUUCUAUUUCGUGCUUCUGUAAGAACUAUAUUUGAGCCUUGCUAGGUCCGACCUUGUCUUCUGUGCCGUGAGAUACUAUGUUCAUCUUAAUUUAAAAAAAGAAAUUAAAAGGAGAACCAUGGGGAUUUUGCACUUUUUUGUAUUUCUACGACACACUAUGACAUGCGCCAGACAUCCUGGCAUUUUAUUUGCUUCAUAAGAUAACAAAAUAAAAUGUGUUUAAAAAAUCAA
ensembl:lncRNA